UUAAUGGAUUGGCUACUCUCCAACGGCAUAAGGGCACAUGGCGUUCUCCCACUGAUCGCGAGUAAUGCUGCCGUCCUAUAAAUAGAGCCCCCUCCCCCCCUCUUCCCCAACCCCAACCCCAGCUCCAAUUGUAAAUGAUUUGAUUUUUGCUCAUCUUUAACAUAUAAGCAAUGAAAUAGUCUCUAACUUGGCUCUUAAGCUUCCUCUACUUUUCUCUAGGUGUUUUAGCUUCAGUCUGUGGCAGAGUCAGAAUUUUCAGUAAUGGGGUUUCACAAGUGAAUAUAUGAACUAAUCGAAGGAGGUUCAACACAGGGAUAGAUCCAAGAUUCUGAGGUAUCGGAUGUCAUGCCGUUCAAGUAGGAUUUGCGGGUCGAUUCUUUUAAUUUUGGGUUACAAUUUGAAUUAUUUAUUAUUUUUUUAUUUUAUAAACAAAUCAAUCAAAUACGUCUAGUGAGUUAUAUUCUUUUUUUUUUAGAUAUUCUUAGAUCAAAAACUCCUAAGUAGUUUAAUUUUUUUCGAUAUAAGAGGUUUUAUUCUUCAAAACUUUGAGAGAAAAAGAGAUUUUUCAUGUUAAAAAUUUAAAUUUUUAUAAACCAUAUGAUAUAGUUAUCUUAAUAUAUUCAUAUUUCAUUACC
rnacentral:lncRNA from 1 species